rnacentral:rRNA from 1 species
AUUGAACGCUGGCGGCAGGCCUAACACAUGCAAGUCGAGCGGCAGCGAGACUAGUAGCAAUACUAGUUGUCGGCGAGCGGCGGACGGGUGAGUAACACGUAGGAAUCUGCCCUUAAGCGGGGGAUAACCAAGGGAAACUUUGGCUAAUACCGCAUAAUCUCGAGAGAGCAAAGCUGCCCGCAAGGGUGGCACUUGAGGAGGAGCCUGCGUCCGAUUAGCUAGUUGGUGGGGUAAUGGCCUACCAAGGCGAUGAUCGGUAACUGGUCUGAGAGGACGACGAGGCACACUGGGACUGGGACACGGCCCAGACUCCUACGGGAGGCAGCAGCGGGGAAUAUUGGACAAUGGGGGCAACCCUGAUCCAGCGAUGCCGCGUGAGUGAAGAAGGCCUUCGGGUCGUAAAGCUCUUUAGGUUGGGAAGAAGGGUAUUGGCUGAAUAAUCCAGUACUUUGACGGUACCGACAGAAUAAGCACCGGCAAACUCUGUGCCAGCCGCCGCCGUAAGAC